rnacentral:snRNA from 1 species
GCCUAACGGCGUGCCUCGGCA